GUUUCUGUAGUGUAGUGGUUAUCACGUGCGCCUCACACGCACAAGGUCGCCGGUUCGAACCCGGCCAGAAACA
rnacentral:tRNA from 1 species